AUUGAACGCUGGCGGCAGGCCUAACACAUGCAAGUCGAGCGGAGCGGCGGACGGGUGAGUAAUACCUAGGAAUCUGCCUGAUAGUGGGGGAUAACGUUCGGAAAUGGACGCUAAUACUGAAUACUAUCAGAUGCGCCUAGGGCGGAUUAGCUAGUUGGUGAGGUAAUGGCUAACAAAGGCCACGACCCGUAUCUGGUCUGAGAGGAUGAUCAGUCACACUGGAACUGAGACACGGUCCAGACGCCUACGGGAGGCAGCAGUGGGGAAUAUUGGACAAUGGGCGAAAGCCUGAUCCAGCCAUGCCGCGUGUGUGAAGAAGGUCUUCGGAUUGUAAAGCACUUUAAGUUGGGAGGAGUUACCGACAGAAUAAGCACCGGCUAACUCUGUGCCAGCAGCCGCGGUAAUUC
rnacentral:rRNA from 1 species